GCUGGCUCACAGGAAGCCAUUUGGGAGACCGCUGCACAAAGUGUUGUCGUUGCAGUUGACUGAGUUUUCACGGGAUCAGUGAAACUGGAUGGUGAUGCUAUCGUCGAUUUCGUGGAAGUUUACGUCAAGUCUCGGAAGUUCAGCUUUCCAAUCCUACAAUGAUACGUAUGUUUAGUCUGCAGAAGAUCGUAGAGAUUGCUUAUUACAAUAUUGUUCGUAUUCGGCUGCAAUGGUCACGAAUAUGGGCUGUGUUGGGAGAUCAUUAUAACAAGAUAAUUCAUGUGUCAUUUUAAUGUGGUUGUAACUCUAAUAAAGAAGUUGCGUUCUUCUUUGCGACAAUUAUCCAUGAAGUUCUUGGAAAAGGGGGAAUUGCCAAAUUUCCGAUUUCAAAAGGAUUUUCUCCGACCCUUCGAACACAUAAUGAAGAAAAACAGUUCUUCCACAAUUCGAGAUAUGGUCGUACGAUGUGUCACACAAAUGGUUCAUUCGCAAGCCGCAAACAUCCAAUCUGGUUGGAAAAAUGU